GUAGGGUGCAAGCGUUAAUCGGAAUUACUGGGCGUAAAGCGUGCGCAGGCGGUUUUGUAAGUCUGUCGUGAAAGCCCCGGGCUCAACCUGGGAGUUGCGAUGGAGACUGCAAGGCUUGAAUCUGGCAGAGGGGGGUAGAAUUCCACGUGUAGCAGUGAAAUGCGUAGAGAUGUGGAGGAACACCGAUGGCGAAGGCAGCCCCCUGGGUCAAGAUUGACGCUCAUGCACGAAAGCGUGGGGAGCAAACAGGAUUAGAUACCCUGGUAGUCCACGCCCCUAAACGAUGUCUACUAGUUGUCGGGUUUUAAUUAACUUGGUAACGCAGCUAACGCGUGAAGUAGACCGCCUGGGAGUACGGUCGCAAGAUUA
rnacentral:rRNA from 1 species